rnacentral:rRNA from 1 species
GAUGAACGCUGGCGGCGUGCCUAAUACAUGCAAGUCGAGCGAACAGACGAGGAGCUUACUCCUCUGACGUUAGCGGCGGACGGGUGAGUAACACGUGGAUAACCUACCUAUAAGACUGGGAUAACUUCGGGAAACCGGAGCUAAUACCGGAUAACAUGUUGAACCGCAUGGUUCAACAGUGAAAGACGGUCUUGCUGUCACUUAUAGAUGGAUCCGCGUCGCAUUAGCUAGUUGGUAAGGUAACGGCUUACCAAGGCAACGAUGCGUAGCCGACCUGAGAGGGUGAUCGGCCACACUGGAUCUGAGACACGGUCCAGACUCCGACGGGAGGCAGCAGUAGGGAAUCUUCCGCAAUGCGCGAAAGCCUGACGGAGCAACGCCGCGUGAGUGAAGAAGGUCUUCGGAUCGUAAAGCGCUGUUAUUAGGGAAGAACAAAUGUGUAAGUAACUAUGCACGUCUUGACGGUACCUAAUCAGAAAGCCACGGCUAACUACGUG